rnacentral:rRNA from 1 species
AGAGUUUGAUCCUGGCUCAGGAUGAACGCUAGCGGCAGGCUUAAUACAUGCAAGUCGUGGGGCAGCACAGGUAGCAAUACUGGGUGGCGACCGGCAAACGGGUGCGGAACACGUACGCAACCUUCCUUUAAGCGGGGAAUAGCCCAGGGAAACUUGGAUUAAUACCCCAUAAGACAGUGGGAUGGCAUCAUCCAGCUGUUAAAGCUCCGGCACUUAAAGAUGGGCGUGCGGCUGAUUAGGUAGUUGGCGGGGUAAUAGCCCACCAAGCCGACGAUCAGUAACUGGUGUGAGAGCACGACCAGUCACACGGGCACUGAGACACGGGCCCGACUCCUACGGGAGGCAGCAGUAAGGAAUAUUGGUCAAUGGACGCAAGUCUGAACCAGCCAUGCCGCGUGGAGGAUGAAGGCCCUCUGGGUUGUAAACUUCUUUUAUUGGGGAAGAAACCCAUCUUUUCUAAGGUGGUUGACGGUACCCAUUGAAUAAGCACCGGCUAACUCCGUGCCAGCAGCCGCGGUAAUACGGAGGGUGCAAGCGUUAUCCGGAUUCACUGGGUUUAAAGGGUGCGUAGGUGGGUAGGUAAGUCAGUGGUGAAAUCUCCAAGCUUAACUUGGAAACUGCCGUUGAUACUAUUUAUCUUGAAUAUAGUGGAGGUGAGCGGAAUAUGUCAUGUAGCGGUGAAAUGCUUAGAUAUGACAUAGAACAUCGAUUGCGAAGGCAGCUCGCUACACUAUUAUUGACACUGAGGCACGAAAGCGUGGGGAUCAAACAGGAUUAGAUACCCUAGUAGUCC